AUGGAGAUAUGUCAGUUGGUGUGCACUGACCGUGCUUAUGAAGAGCUCAUUCUUCUAUCAUACAAGAUGAAUUAUUUGUUUGAAUCUCUCACUUUGAUUCUUUUCACAUGGGGUCAUUCAGGCUUUCAGGGCAACCAUAGAUUCAGAAUUGUCCUUUUGGAGACCCAGCAACAGAAAAGCACAUCUUCUUUGACUGUGACAUUGGAGUUACAGGUUUGGAGGAGGAAGAAGUGCUUGGAAUAAGGUAGGGUUGAGAAGAGAAUGCAUCUCUGCUGAUCAGAUACAUAAGAAAGGUAGGAAAAUAUUUCCAAAAUGUCAGUGGAUUACAAGAUGGGAUAGCAAUGUGUCAGUGUUUUAGAAAGUGCCACAAAGAUGAUGUUCAUCAUUAGGGAAAACGGGAAUUUCCCAAUGGUAACUGAGUACUUUUUGUUGGUAAGUUCAAUUGCUGUCUCACGUGAACUCCCUUGUGGUGUUCAUCAUGUUGCUGAAGGUUGUAUGAGUACAAGGUAGUGGAAAGGUCAGGAGUUGGAAUUAGCACUGAGAAGUAUGGGGAAGGGCACCAGACACAGUUUAUGCUGACUGAGGCUGACUGAUGCUCUAGCGUGGUGCACUAAGUGCAUUUGGUGGCACGGCGACCCACAUGUUUUUGAUGGCACGUCCAGAGCUGUACUUGUGCUUUGUUUUUUUGUUAGUUACUUGGUAGGGGGGCUGGAACUAGAUGAUCUUUAAGAUCCCUCCCCAGCUCAAACCAUUCUGUAUUUCUAUAUCAUGCUGUGAUUCCUGUAAGUGGACACUCUCUUCAGCAUAGCCUUUCCUCCAGCUCUAUCUUUGUAUUUGCUUUUCAAGGUAAUGUUCUGCCUUUACAUAUAUUUUCUCUGUGCACUCAUAAGGGUGCUAUUGCAAUACAGAAAAUGGAUAUACUUCAUGAUGAUACAGCACAUUAGCAAUUAAACCAAAGAGCAAAACACGUCCUGAGAUGCCUCUCACUGAGAAACAGAACAUAUUUAAAAAUGAAAUGAACAAAAAAGCUCUUACAGACCAGUGAAAUGGCAUCAUAAGCAAGAAAUAUACACUUUUGGG
rnacentral:lncRNA from 1 species